rnacentral:rRNA from 1 species
UACGUAGGGUGCGAGCGUUGUCCGGAAUUAUUGGGCGUAAAGAGCUCGUAGGCGGCUUGUCGCGUCGGAUGUGAAAGCCCGGGGCUUAACUCCGGGUCUGCAUUCGAUACGGGCAGGCUAGAGUUCGGUAGGGGAGAUCGGAAUUCCUGGUGUAGCGGUGAAAUGCGCAGAUAUCAGGAGGAACACCGGUGGCGAAGGCGGAUCUCUGGGCCGAUACUGACGCUGAGGAGCGAAAGCGUGGGGAUCAAACAGG